AUUCUAGAACCUCUUUUUUUUCAGGUACAACUAUCAUUCGAAAAGCCAGAUGUUAGAGUCCAGAUGCCUACCAUUGAACGGCUGUCCAUGUCAAGAUAUUUCUACCUCUUUCCUGGCAAUUGAAAAUCAAAGCUGUUGACAGGGAAUUACAGGCCGUCCUGCCCUUCUUUACCAACUUCUAGAAGCCCCUUUACCAGUAUGGCACACCUAUUUAACCAUUUGUACUUAAAUAAAAAAAAAAACACAUAAA